GCCUUCUCUGCCAUUCGGACCAUCCUCCCAGCCCAGAUCCUGGAUCAGCUCUCCCUUCUGGCGCAGGGGCGUCAUUGCCUCCGUUAUGGCACUCAUCAGCUCCAUAAAUCCUCGACGGAUCUCCUCUUGCAGCGUCCUGCUGAUGGUGUCCGCCAUAGCUCCUCUCUGCGUCUCCUGCGCUUGUGUUAUGGCGACGUUUAUGCCCGAAAGAAUUUCCGACGGCAAUUCUUUUGGGUACUUCGGCUGGUUCCAACUGUCGUUCUCUCCUCCUUCUGCGCCCUGUUCCGGCAAGUUUCCUGGCGGAGGAGUCCUGCUAGUCAUUUUCCCCUUUGACCGUAAAUUGUAGUUGCUCAUAAACUUUCUGACCACCUACUUUUCUCUCUUCCACAGAAACUCAAAAAUCAAACAAAACCUGACACGGAACUUCAAAUUACUGCAAGAUCAACACUAAGAGGGGAAAGUAACCACAACUGCUACUGGGGCCAUCUGCACUUGGUUCCCUACGUCUUUGCUUGUCCAACGUCUUCAACUUCUUCGCGAGCGCUGUUGACCUCUCACCUUCUACAGAAGAUUAAGAGUCAAGGGCGCUCACCCUGCUACCUAGCUGCUUCUGUCCCACUACUCUACUGAAGGAUAGCUUCGGGAUCUUGUAGCUGCUCCAGGUGCAUCGCGUGGCCGACUUAAUGUCCCCACGGGCCACCUCGAGCAAAAUAAAUCUCUACGACAUACUACUUUCCCGGUGUCCUCCAGCGGUAAGUAGGGGAAGCAGCACAAAAAAAAACUACACGAACUUAACUAACUUCGGGUAUUUUCCUUUCCAGGCUCUCUUUUGUCCACCAGGCAACGGGUCGGUUGCUAACCGGCUUGAGGACUCUCCUCAGCCAGUGCCAACCUCACCCCUUUGAGAGCUCCGGCUUCGCUCUGUCAGAUAAGUUUAAACUCAAACCAAAAAAAAAACAAUUUACUUUGUGGAUUCCUACAUUUACAGAUCCCUCAGUGCCGUGCAUCUGCGAGCCAGCCUUCAAAGCUCCUCACAGGCCACCGGAACACAGACGGACCCUGACUGCAGAC
rnacentral:lncRNA from 1 species